CCUGGUGGAAAUCUCUGCUUACCAGAGGCUUUCAAAAGAUACAAGCCAGCUUCACCUUCAGAGAGACAAUGGACACUACCCACAAAGUUGUCAUGAUGUUACUGAACAUCACAGACAAAAGGAAGACAUAGAGCCAGCAGUGACUCCUAUAGGAAGAGCUUAAAAAACAAAACAAAAAAACAGCAUUCCAACACAAGGUUUAUAAGAAGCAUCCAUCUAUUUAACAAAGAAAACACGUUGUGGAUUUUUAUUUUAUUUAAAUACAAAGUAGUUUAUCAUCUCCUGAGAAGUACUAGGAUUAUAUUCAGUUUUGCUUCUCUUGCAUAAAAUUGUCCAGAAGCAGUUUGAGCAUUCACUGGAGAAGUUCUACCCACCAUGCCAAUGUCCUUGGCUCUCUCUCUGGAUACACCAGAGCAUUGCUCAAGUCAUGCUGACCUUUGCAGCAGGAUAAACAUAUGUACCUUGAUUUCAGCAAGGCGUUUGACAGUGUCUCCCACAACAUCUUUGUUACGAAACUUAAAAAGUGCAGGAUAGAUGAAUGGAUGGUGAGCUGGAUUGACAACUAACUGACUGGAAGAGCUCAGAGUGUGGUCAGCAGUGGUGCAGUCUGGUUGGAGGCCUGUAACCAGCAGUGUUGCCCGGGGUUUGGUUCUGGGCCUGGUCUCAUUCAACAUCAUCAUCAACAACCUGGAUGAAGGGAUAGAGUCCACCCUCAGCAUGUUUGCUGAUGACACAAAGCUGGGAGGAUUGGCUGACACACCUGAAGGCUGUUCUACCAUUCAGCAAGACCUGGACAGACUGGAGAGUUGGACAAAGAGGAACCUGAUGAGGUUUAAUAAGAGCAAGUGUAGAGUCUUGCACCUGGGGAGGAAUAACCACAUGCAUCAGUACAGGUUAGGUACCUGCUGAGGAGGAGCUCUGCAGAGAAGAACCUGGGAUUUGUGGUGGACAACAGGAUGGCCACGAGCCAGCAGCGUACCCUUGUAGCCAAGAAGGCCACUGAUAUCCUGGAAUGGAUUAAAAAGAUCCUGGCCAGCAAGUCAAGGGAG
ensembl:lncRNA